rnacentral:rRNA from 1 species
ACGCUGGCGGCAGGCCUAACACAUGCAAGUCGAGCGGUAGAGAGAAGCUUGCUUCUCUUGAGAGCGGCGGACGGGUGAGUAAUGCCUAGGAAUCUGCCUGGUAGUGGGGGAUAACGUUCGGAAACGGACGCUAAUACCGCAUACGUCCUACGGGAGAAAGCAGGGGACCUUCGGGCCUUGCGCUAUCAGAUGAGCCUAGGUCGGAUUAGCUAGUUGGUGAGGUAAUGGCUCACCAAGGCGACGAUCCGUAACUGGUCUGAGAGGAUGAUCAGUCACACUGGAACUGAGACACGGUCCAGACUCCUACGGGAGGCAGCAGUGGGGAAUAUUGGAUAAUGGGCGAAAGCCUGAUCCAGCCGUGCCGCGUGUGUGAAGAAGGUCUUCGGAUUGUAAACCACUUUAAGUUGGGGGGAAGGGCAGUUGCCUAAUACGUAACUGUUUUGACGUUACCGACAGAAUAAGCACCGGCUAACUCUGUGCCAGCAGCCGCGGUAAUACAGAGGGUGCAAGCGUUAAUCGGAAUUACUGGGCGUAAAGCGCGCGUAGGUGGUUUGUUAAGUUGGAUGUGAAAUCCCCGGGCUCAACCUGGGAACUGCAUUCAAAACUGACUGACUAGAGUAUGGUAGAGGGUGGUGGAAUUUCCUGCGUAGCGGUGAAAUGCGUAGAUAUAGGAAGGAACACCAGUGGCGAAGGCGACCACCUGGACUAAUACUGACACUGAGGUGCGAAAGCGUGGGGAGCAAAC